rnacentral:rRNA from 1 species
GAUGAACGCUGGCGGCGUGCCUAAUACAUGCAAGUCGAGCGAACAGACGAGGAGCUUGCUCCUCUGACGUUAGCGGCGGACGGGUGAGUAACACGUGGAUAACCUACCUAUAAGACUGGGAUAACUUCGGGAAACCGGAGCUAAUACCGGAUAAUAUAUUGAACCGCAUGGUUCAAUAGUGAAAGACGGUUUUGCUGGCACUUAUAGCUGGAUCCGCGCCGCAUUAGCUAGUUGGUAAGGUAACAGCUUACCAAGGCAACGAUGCGUAGCAGACCUGAGAGGGUGAUCGGCCACACUGGAACUGAGACACGGUCCAGAGUCCUACGGGAGGCAGCAGUAGGGAAUCUUCCGCAAUGGGCGAAAGCCUGACGGAGCAACGCCGCGUGAGUGAUGACGGUCUUCGGAUCGUAAAACUCUGUUAUUAGGUAAGAACAAAUGUGUAAGUAACUAUGCACGUCUUGACGGUACCUAAUCAGAAAGCCACGGCUAACUACGUG